UUGGGUUUCUUGUCACCUCAGGCC
rnacentral:piRNA from 1 species